rnacentral:rRNA from 1 species
CAUGCAAGUCGAACGGUAACAGAAAGAAGCUUGCUUCUUUGCUGACGAGUGGCGGACGGGUGAGUAAUGCUUGGGAAUUUGCCUUGAGGUGGGGGACAACAGUUGGAAACGACUGCUAAUACCGCAUAAUUGCUACGGCACAAAGGGAGCUCCGGCUCUCGCCUUUAGAGAAGCCCAAGUGGGAUUAGAUAGUUGGUGGGGUAACGGCCUACCAAGUCAACGAUCCCUAGCUGGUCUGAGAGGAUGAUCAGCCACACUGGAACUGAGACACGGUCCAGACUCCUACGGGAGGCAGCAGUGGGGAAUAUUGCACAAUGGGGGGAACCCUGAUGCAGCCAUGCCGCGUGUGUGAAGAAGGCCUUCGGGUUGUAAAGCACUUUCAGCGAGGAGGAAGGGUUAGUAGUUAAUACCUGCUAGCUUUGACGUUACUCGCAGAAGAAGCACCGGCUAACUCCGUGCCAGCAGCCGCGGUAAUACGGAGGGUGCGAGCGUUAAUCGGAAUUACUGGGCGUAAAGCGUACGCAGGCGGUCAUUUAAGUCAGAUGUGAAAGCCCCGGGCUCAACCUGGGAACUGCAUUUGAAACUGGAUGACUAGAGUGC